UUCUUUCUUUUCAUUUAUGUGUCU
rnacentral:siRNA from 1 species